rnacentral:rRNA from 1 species
CCUACGGGGGGCAGCAGUGAGGAAUAUUGGUCAAUGGACGAAAGUCUGAACCAGCCAUGCCGCGUGCAGGAAGACGGCUCUAUGAGUUGUAAACUGCUUUUGUACAAGGGUAAACCUGAAUACGUGUAUUCCGCUGAAAGUACUGUACGAAUAAGGAUCGGCUAACUCCGUGCCAGCAGCCGCGGUAAUACGGAGGAUCCAAGCGUUAUCCGGAUUUAUUGGGUUUAAAGGGUGCGUAGGCGGAUUGAUAAGUUAGAGGUGAAAUGUCCGAGCUUAACUCGGGAACUGCCUCUAAUACUGGUGAUCUAGAGAGUAGGUGCGGUAGGCGGAAUGUAUGGUGUAGCGGUGAAAUGCUUAGAGAUCAUACAGAACACCGAUUGCGAAGGCAGCGUACCAAUCUAUAUCUGACGUUGAGGCACGAAAGCGUGGGGAGCAAACAGGAUUAGAUACCCCGGUAGUC